GGAGAGGAAAGAUGGUUUUAAGCAAAAAAGGAAGCAUAGCAGAAAUGUUAAGUCAUUGCUUGAUACAGUGAUGAAGCACCUGGUAGGAAGGCAGUGCCAAACCAGGGGAGCUCAGGUGCAUGCAAUGUACCUGAGUGACUGGAAGGGGCAGAGCCAGGAUCCACCCCUUCCCAGACCUCAUUUAAGGGUUGGCAGUGGAAGCAAUGGUAUUUUAUUGGAGAUCCCUGUAUGCGUGAGGCCUUCUGAAGGUAGUCAACAUGAAGUUGUUGAUUGGAAUCCAGGAUUACAUCAGACCUUGUUACUGGAUAACUGUGUGAGUGGAGUUUUUGCCAGCAGCAGAGCUGCAAGACUUGGAUGUGUUUUUCAAGAACUAAUUGUUCUUGCAUCGUGGUUUUAUAGUCAACGGCAGAAUUGGAGCAACUUACAUGUGGUCAGUUGUAGAUAAGAAAGGCUCAUCCCAGAGCUAAGUGACCUCCCCACCCCCUCCCCUCAGCUGGGCUGGUGGCUGCUCUCCUUUAGAAUGAGGAACGUUCCACCCUGGGCAUGUGAACUAUGGUGCUGGAGUGCAUGCAGAGUGAACUGUCCCAUCACUUGAGCCCAGGUGUCAUCUUACAAGAAACCAAAGUCUUGGAGUGAAAUACAGAGUGAACAAAUUGACUGUGUAGACCAGAGGUGUUUAUCCUUCUUGCUUGCCUGGGCUGCACUGAAUGAAGAAGAAUUGUCUUGGGGUUCCUAUAUGUAGGUUGCACCAAAAGUAAUCCCUUCUAUUUACUUCCAUAAAAACUGCAACUGAUGCAAAGGGCACAACACCACUAUUUGCUAGAGCAAGUUCCCUGUCACUGUUUUUGAGAAACACUAUUUUUCAAUGUAAUCAGCAUGAGCUGUGUGUUUUUGCCAGCCACAAACAAGAGCUGCAAGCUGUGCUCUUCACAAUCUGCAUCGGUGAAGGUGAUCAGUGUUUUCAUUGCUGAAGCAUACCACCCAACGUUUUUUUUGCAUGGAUGAAUUAAAGACCUUUGCUUCACACACGCUUCCAUGUCAGACACCGUUCUGUCAGAGUGCCUCUCUCCUGCCAUGUGUCACACAGUAAUAAAAUGUAAUGGGAUAUUGAUGGGAGAGUUCAACCUCUACUGCCGUACCACCAACAUCUGCACCUGACAUUGGGGGGCAACGGCAUGAAAUAGGAGGCAUUACUUUUGGAACAGUCUUUAUAAUGUAUAUAAUAUGGUUGAUGCAUAUAAGUAGCAAAACUUAUUUAAAUAUCUUCAGUAUUAUUUAUUAAAACAACAUAAAUUCUGUGAGGGGCCAGAGGAGGAACCUUCUCCCAUUACAGGCUGUGUUAUUUUUUCCCCUGACAUUUUUCAAGGCACGAUCAUCAAAUACUUUAUGAACAAAAUGAAAGCUGAACUUUAAAACAAAUAAAGCCUGCUACUUUGUUUGUGGCAGGAAAAAAAAAAAAAGAUUGAAUGUAUUUUUCUGUAAGCUGUAGCUUUGCACAUCACUCGUUGUAGCCAAGUUUGAUUUCUUUUAAGUAUACCCAAUUUACAGAACUGUUUGAUGUUCUGUGGGUGGAGAUGGUUUUUUUUUUAAAUGCCUUUAAAAAAAAAACAGUGGGG
ensembl:lncRNA